UACAGAGGUGGCAAGCGUUGUUCGGAAUUACUGGGCGUAAAGGGCGCGUAGGUGGCCUUCUUAGUCAGACGUGAAAUCCCCAGGCUUAACCUGGGAACUGCGUCUGAUACUGGAAGGCUCGAGUUCGGGAGAGGAAUGUGGAAUUCCAGGUGUAGCGGUGAAAUGCGUAGAUAUCUGGAGGAACACCGGUGGCGAAGGCGGCAUUCUGGACCGAAACUGACGCUGAGGCGCGAAAGCGUGGGGAGCGAACAGG
rnacentral:rRNA from 1 species